rnacentral:sRNA from 1 species
CAGACAGAGCAGAGCAGAGGAGGUCAUGAUUAUUUUCUCCUGCUCGGACAGAGUGGGGGCAGGGCAGGCCUUGCCUUCUUCCUGCCACCACCAAGUGACCUAGCAUUUCAGUUAGCCCUUUUGUCUGGGGCAUGAGAAGCUAUGGAAGCCAGGGGCUCCUUCCUACCAGCUAAGGAGGAUGGAACCACACAUGUCCAGCACCACCAGGGAAGGCCAGCCAUCUUCACGCCUCAUGGCCUCCUUGUGGGCUGGAUCCCUUUUGCUUGGUAGGAAUGAAUGGGUGACCAACUUUGAUGAAGGCACGGACAUUCUGAGGCCUCCGUCUGGCCGCACUGAACACCCAGGCCAUGGUUUCAUGGAGAAGACACUGAAGUCUCAAAAGCUUCAGGACAGUAGGGAAUAGUCCUUCCCCGUCUCCCAGGCAGGAGUCUGGGGCUUGUGCCCAGGGCAGUCAGUGAGGAGGGUGGACUCCUGACACUGCAAGACUAGCUGAGGUUCCCAACCACUUAACUCUCAUCAGGAGCCCAGUAGGGAGGCAGCCUGCAUCUUCCUCAGCCAUGCACAGUGGGGUGUCAUGAACUGCAAGGAGCGAGGGCUCAGAGGGAGCUUCUCAGUGAACACCCUCUUUUCUGCACUCAACACCAUAUUUGGCUGGUUCAUCGCCCGUGGGCGUCAUAAUACAGGAUAUAUUCAUCCUUCAAAUGUUCUAUUUUAAUUUUAAGCAGGGAUGUACAUCCGUGUGCCAACCUUCUGAGGCGGGCCCGGGUGCUUCUCUGAGAAGGGCCCAUGUGGCCCAGACUGUACCAUGGCCUGUGACUCUGGUUCAUGUUCUUAUCAGUGGAGACGAAAGACCCCGGGAAAUAGAGCUGAGAGCAGACUCUCACUAGAGUUUUUCAUAUCCUCCUUCUGCUUUUUUGCAGUUGGCUUGCCCACGCCUAAUUCAAUAGAUUAAAAAAAAAAAAAGGCAAGUUGCUCCUUCAAGACUUUUAUGAAAUCUUGAUUUUAAUGAAACAGCUCUGGCCUCUUUUCUGACUCUCUUGAUUAAUUUACAUAGCGUGUAACUGAGUUAUAACAAAGAUAAUAAGUAGAUGUGGGGUCAAAGGGAGCCAGCUCUCUGAGAGGUGACUGACUUGAUGUACCACAGGGCACUGGCUUUCCUUUCAAAUGUAAAGUGUGGUUUUUGGGGUGGUGGGGGUGGUGGGUGAGGUCUUCCUAGGCUCCCAGCAAGCGCAUCUUCCUCCUCCCAGCUUGGGAGCCCGAGGUCCCACUGGGGGAAGAGGAGAGCAGAAUUCUCUAUCAAGGCUGAUGACCAGGGUCCAGCCCAGCUCCAGGCUCCUUCAGGAGCUGUGUUCUGUCUCCUGACGUGAGGCACCACCAGAGGAAGUGCUGGUCACCUAGGGAAAUGGAUUGUAGGUAUAGAGGGGGAGAAAUGGGUUUUCUACCUGGUAUCCUGGAUCCAGAACCUUCUAGAAAGUCUUUGUGUCUUAGCUUUAUGCCAUCUUUUGACUGAGGGACUCAGGUCACAAAAACAAGAAGCCCAAGUCGGAGUUGGCUAAACCUCUCAACCUUCAGAGCCUUGGCUCUGGGCUCUUCAAAGCCAAGUAGCCAGUACAUGGCAGGUGCUUCGUGAAGGUCUGAUAAUGAUUUAGUGCCGCCUUGACAUGCCCUGUUAGUUUUACCACCAAAAUGGAUUUUUUUAAAAAAAAUUUUUUUAAGACAGGAUGGCCUCGAAUAGCUGUGUAGCCAAGGAUGAGUGAGUUUUUAAUCCACCUGCUUCUACUACUUGCAUGUUGGGAAUUUGAGUAUGCCUAGAUUUCUGUUUGAAGAUUUAUUUUUAUUAUGUGUGUGUGUGUACACAUGCGUGCAUGUGCGUGUGUGUACACAUGCGUGCAUGUGCGUGUGCAUCUGCAUGUGUGCGUGCACAUCAUUAUGGGUAUAUGUGCGUGAGUGCAGGUACCCAUAAAGGCCAGAAGCAUUGGAUCCCCCUGAAGCUGGAGUUAUGGGACAUCGUGAGCCACCUGAGGUGGUCUUGGGUCCUCUACAAGAGCACUAUGCAGGCUUAACACAAAGCCAUCUCUCCAGCCCACAUCCUGCCUAGUUUUGUGAUGCUGGGGCUCAUAUCCAGGUCUUUGUGCGUGCUAGGCAAGCACCCACUGGUUGGGUUACCUCACUAGGCCCCUUCAAUCGUGGUUGCGUCUGCUGCCUCCUUACUGUGAGCACUAGACACCCUUCCUCCCUCCAAGACCGUCCUGCCUCCCACCAGGAUGACUGUGACAGUCUCCUCUGCACCGUCAGGGUGUCCCAGCUGACACAGAUCCCUUGAAAGGCUCCCAUCAUCUAGAGGACCACACCCACACUCCUGUUCACCAAGGGAAGGCCUGUGUGUACUAAGUGUUCCUGAGUGAUGACUGUGCCUGCCCCUGGCUUUCCUUCCUCUGCUUCAGCCUCUUCCCCUCUUCUGUUCUUGGUCUCCCUCUUGCCACUGGCAAGACUCCAGAUUUGGCCGUUGAUGACACAGAACCAAGAAGAGGAGGGAUAGGGCUGGGUUCAUGUGCCCUUCCUGGUUCAUGAGAAUUGUAGGUAAGAACCCGACUUGCUUUUUUAGUUCCUUUACAGGUCUGGGCUGAAUGUGAAUCCACGGAGACCAGACCCUACAGACAUCACUGUUACAAACACUUACGUCGUUUUUGACUCAUUGUUGGGCUGACUAAACACUAACCCCUUGGGUCCUCAGACACAGGAGGCGGGAGGUGGUGGGCAGGAAGUGGGGCUGCCUGUUAAGACACCUGGAGCAAGUUCCUUUCCAUUCUCCCCAUUCUCCCCCCCUCCCCACUGGGACAACACAGGAACACAGGAUGGCAGCUAGCUAAUGCUAAUGGGGGUAGGACGGUCCCUGUGAGGAGCUGGUGACUAACCUCCACCUUCGUCUCUCCAUCUCUCUGGCAGGGAUGGAGGUGAUCUAUCAAUGCUUCCUGACCUGGAAUGUUCCAUCUCCCUUGUGGCUGAUCUGGGGACUUAGGCAAUUAGGAACUAGGCUUGGCUCUAAGAUGCUCAGUGACACCUGCAUCUCUUAAUGCUAUUGAACAAAUGCCAAGGGGCAGGGCCAGUGGGAUCAGAUGUCCCAGGAGUUGGGUAUGGUGUAAACCCCUGCAUUCUGUCAUCUGUUGUACAUGUUCCGAGUGUAGACAGGGUUGAUGGAGAAUUGUAGUCUUUCCAAACCAGCACAGCCCUGGAGUGAGGGGUGAGCACCAUAUCACCUGGUGGCCAAGGAUGCAUGCAAUGCACAAAGGUUAAAAGAAAUCAGAGACGAAUCCUGGAAAGCUUCCUCCAGCUACUGUCACUUGAGUUGCAUCCUUUGACAGAGCCCAAAGGUUCAGCCACGGAAAAGGAGGACUGCCUCUGGUGACAAUUUCACAACAGGAUCACAAAGCAGGGAUCAGCUGAGGAAUACUCCUUUCUUUCAGACACACUGUCCCUUGCCUGGCCUCUUUGUACCCACAGUUGUAAGCUGGGCCAGGCUUGGGUGUCCUGUGUGCGCAUAUAUGUGCAUGCAUGUGCUGUGCAUACACAGAAGCCUGAGGUUGGUGUUGGGUGUAUCGCUCUAUCACUACAUCUUUUCUGAGACUCGGUGGCCAGGAGAUUAUCAGCUCAGCAAGACUAUCGGACCAGCAAGCCCCGGACCUGCCUGUCUCCCCACUCCCAGGGCGAGGUUUACCGGUGUGUAUCACUGUGUCAGUUUUCUAUGUGGGUGCCAGGGAGAGAGCCCAGGUCCUCAGGCUUGUGCAGCAAACACACUGCUGUCAGAACCAUCUGCCCAGCCUCAUGCCUGGGGAUUUAAGUUGGGGUUCGGCCAUAGCCAUCAGGUUUAUGUGCUGAAGACUCAAAUCCCAUGUCCAAUCUGCUCUUGUAAAGCAAAAGAAGGCAGUGUUGGCUAGCAGGUGGCCACUUCCAGUCACUGGGGAAAAGACAGAGGCUUCAUGUCACGUGGGCCUUGCAAAUGUGUCACCAAGUUGCAGAAGCUGCUUGCAGUGGUCUCGGAGGCAGCCUUUUCUUUGCUCUGACCCUGUAAUCUGGGGUAAUCUGCCACCAAUGUUGCUUUCCCUCUGAACGGUGACCAGGACUAGAAAUCUUCUAGGGUCUAAAUGAAGCGUUUAGGCUCACAAACCUUUGGCCUCUGCUCUUCCACCCUCUGCAAGUUGCUAGCCUGGAGGCAGCGUCUGGGAGUGAGCACUUGUUGCUUGUUUUUGGCCUACACUUUGGCUUUUUGACAGAGGUAGGAGAACCCUGGGAGUCUCGGAUCUGAGAGCCUGCAGGAGAAGAGGUAUUCUUACCCAGACUUAUAGGGCUCCACCACGAGGCAGGAGUGGGAGCCUCCCCUCUAGGUUUCCUUACAGCCGGCUGCCUGACUUCCUGGUCCACUUGUUGGAGGGCCUGAUCUUCCCAGGGAUUUUCCCAUCGUGCUGGACCCUCGACCUCAGCAGUGGCUGGGUAGCUUAGAGCUGCCUGGCCUGUUUCUCUGGGGCUGAGCUGGUUUUUUUCCCUCUCUAGUUCAUUCUUGGAUGGAUUUGCAAUUUGACUGUCACCAUGGAAACUCUUGAGUUUUGGUACAUGAGGCUGGUUGGGGGUGGGGUAGGAACUCUUCCUUUUUGGAAAAUCUCCCUUGAAUGCCUCACAGGACACAUGUGGCUGCUGCUGACCUAGCUGGGAUGGCUUGGGACAGGGAUGAAAGGCUAGGCUCUGGGGACCUGUCUCCAGGCUCUGCUUAGCCACGACCUCUCUCCAUGACCCUAGUCACCUCUUCAAGAUUCAUGACCAAGAGUUUUGGUCAAUACCCAGCAGUUACUUAUGUAGACUUAGUGUGAGGUCAGCUCAGUAGUGGACAAGCUGCUGAUAUCCCUGCCUGAUUGAAAAGUCAGGAAACCAUCUUCCCACCGGGAGCCAUGCUACAUCCACCUGCCCAGUGCAAAGAUGGGGGCAGGCUGUGAGCUUGGGAGACCCUGGAGAGCAGUGGCUGCUCUGCUCCAAGGAGCCCAAAGUCUCCUGAAGCUAUGGGAGUUAGGGAAGUAGGGAGAUAUUUUCCAACAUCCUGCCAAGAAGCAGCAGAUGGUGGGAAAUUUUGCAUACUAAAAACAACAAAAAAUAUUUUUAACGUAAAGGAAAGACAGUUAGGCCUUGGGGAGGGCAAAGGAACCCCCAAUGAAUCCUCCUGGGCCGCCAGACCAGCACAGCACAGAUGUGGUUGGCUCUGCCAAGAUGGCUUAGCCCUCAUAGUCAGGAAUAGGUGUAUGGGUGUGUGUGUGUGUGUGUGUGUGUGUGUGUAUGUCCCCGUUCAGGUGGCAGCAGGUGGGGGUCAUGUGAUAAGGUGACCCUGAAGCACAGGCUUGGGUUUGUGUCAUUUUCCAGUUGUGCACCCUUAGGCUGUUUUCUUUACCUAUCUAUGCUCGGCGGAGCCAUGGGUGAAUGAUGGCUCCCUCUGUAGUGGCUGUGAGCAUUCAACGAAGAACAAGGACAUGCAUCAUGGGCUCAUGUCCUCUAGCAUGGGGCUUGUUUCUUUGCUCUGGGCCCAGCCUACAUCACUGGGCGGGGCUGACUCUUCUAACGGAGUGUGGUGGCUCCAGCCGUGGUUCACAGGCUGAGGAGAGUGUCUGAUGCACUUAGAGCAUGGUUAGAGGCUGGGCUGGCAUUCAUGUCCAUCUUUGGCUGAGGUCCUUGCUCUCUCACCAGAGUAUACAUGGCAUGCUCCUGUCUCACCUAAUGACUUUAAACUCUCCUCCCCAGUCAGCUGACUCAUUCCUUUCUCCACAUGGGCCCUGCAUCAGAGAGGCUGUCUCACGCAUGCCCACUGUUUUGGUUUGAACCCUGGUUCUGCUUUGGAUACCUCUGGGCAAAUAUCAUACCCUAGACCUCAAUUUGUCUCAUCUGUGAAAUGGACAGGAAGGAGGGAAGAGAGAAAGACGGAAAACUGUCCAGCAAGAUGAGAUUCAGCAGGGGAAAAGACCAAACACUACACAAGCUGAUAAGAUUUUCAAAAACCAGAGUUCAACAUAAUGCCCAGGAAUCUCUUCAAUUUGUUUCUACUUCCCAGAGUCCUCUGCACCAGGAGCAGAGGGAGCCCACCCACCUGGCUGCCUCCACUUCCUGUUUUUCCUGCUUUGGCCUCCUCUCCCUGCCUGGAGCUACCCAAGGGAAGGCCACCUUAUGACCCAAAUCCAUCUCCUUCCAAGCCUGCCUAGCCCUAGAUAAAGUCACUUGCUAACUGCACUCUGAGCCGUGCAGGGCAGUGAGGUCAGUAUGGGGAUAGGUAGUUCACCAGGCCAGCAGAACAGGUGAUGGCAGAGCCCCAGCCAGGCACCUCUCAUCUGUCUUCCUGGAGGGACACUCAGAUAACCUCAGCCUGGGCAGGCACUGGGGUAGAGGGUGGAAAGUUGCCACAGACUGGGAUAAAUAGCUCUGAGGGGAGUGUUCUGCUCUUGAGGGUAGGAGAAGAGAGCAGUGGCCUCAUCCUCUGGUUUGUCCUCAGAGCUCCAGCCAGAACUGAGGAUGGCCCAAAGCUAGGGGAACCUGUCCUUCCAGGAAUGGGUCCACUGGCAGUCAGAAGAGGCUCCAUGUCUACCUGUCUUUCCUUGGGACCAGGUGACAGGAGUCAUGGUAUGCUUCCAACCUGUCCUAGUGUGUAGUCAGGGACAGGCACAGGAUCUAGGUACUUUCCUUUCCUGACACUCUUCAAGGCUGCCCCUAGAGGCUCUGAGGAUGACCCCAGGUGGGAAGAGGCAACAGGGAAGCACAGUGCUGAAUGACAAGUCAGAUCCAGGGCUCGGAGGGGUCCAAGUGCUGGCUUAUUCAUGAACAUCGAUUUUAAUUUUCUCUCCUUCGGGCUCACAGACAGAUAGGAGGCACCAGCUAAUGAAGACAAAUUCACAGAUCAAUAAAGAUGUGGUCGCCGGUGUGAAAACCCUCUGGUCCCCUAACCACAAAUGAGGAGCUCUGGGUAGUAGGAGGAGGGAUGUUAAGAACUGCUCCCUGAGAGAGAACAGGACAUACAGAGCAGGGUAGAGUGUGACAGUGUGGGAGAGACAGUGUUUGGGGAGAGGUCAGAGAGGGCUUCCUGGAAGAGGAGGGAUUUACAAAUUAACACCAUUUAAGCAGGCACAGGAGUAGGCUUGGGGUAGGCCAGGCCUCCCCGACAGUGCAGGGAAAGCCGCAACUUAGCAAUGGGCUCUUUGGAGGAUCAGGAAGCCCUUAGGAGGAAGCCCCUGAGGGAAAGGGGGUAAACUGGUUUGUGUAGGCUCUGGCUUCUGGCGGACACACACAAAAUGAGGGAGCCUGUGUGUUCUGCGCUCCUUGGCUGACAGGUGACAUGAGCCUUUGUUUCCUCCCGACUUGAACUUUUACCUCUCUCAUGGCUUUGAAAAUGGUCUCCUUGAGGCUGGUAAGAUGGCUCAGUGGAUUAAAGGUGCUUGCCACAAACCUGCCAGUCUGAGUUAGAAGAGAACCCGCUCCCGCCAGUUGUCCUCUGACCUCCAACUGACCCCAUCCCCUGGAAUAAAUUAAUGAGGAUAAAGAAAUCUGGAUCUGACUGUGACUUCUCAAAAUCCUCCUGCCUUAGCUGCCUAAGAGCUGGGCUCGCGGGUGUGCCCCAGUCUGUAUACUCUGUCUCUAUCCCUCCAAGUCUCACUGUCACAGUUUUCCAUCCAGAGGAGCCUCAGACCCAGGAUGUCUGUGUUCAGAGACUGGCAAGAGGAUGGGCUAGCUGCCUGCCUGGCUCUGAUGGGCCCUCGUCUCUGCCAUGCUCCUGGGAGGAGUGAGGAAUCAGCUGGGGACCUUCUGCAACGUCACCCUUGCCCUGGCAUGGACAGGCUGUCCAGGGAGGGAGCAGUGUAUAGCAGAGCCAGCACUUUUAUCCCCAGAGUGGAUUGGAAUCAGGCAGGGUGGGAGCCCAGAUCCGCUCACUUCACCCACACUCCCAAAGGCUGUUCAGUCCGGAGUGUGUGGGAUGAAGUUGUAGGUUUAAGCAGCAAGGCAGGUGGGCAGCGGCAGAGGGUCACGCUGUACUGUGUACAAAGAGCUCAGCCCAGCAGCCCCCUGGGGCAGUGCUGCGCCCCCUUGGCUGCACUUGAGUCAGACAUAGCUUCCAGGAGGGCAAGGCACCUCAAGAUCUCACCUUGCAUAUGGAAUUGGCUAAUCCCCUGAGGCUGUCAUUGGAUUUGGGCAAAUUAGAGGUGACAGCCAUGCCCCUAACCUUUGUGGUGUGGCUAAUGAGGGCCUUCUGCUCUGGGAAAUCAAUUUCUAAGCCAGCACAGACAUUGGGACAGGCAGGGGCUUCUGUGAGGAGGGGGAGGCAUGGAGCGGGGACUCUUCCCUGUGUAAGGUUCCUUCCUGUUUUGAGACUGCUGCUCAGCAUAACCAAGGGCUUAAAGGCAGGAUGAGGCCACAAGCCUGGGCCUUCCUUUUAAAGCAGAUCCACAGUCAUGGCUACUCAAGAACAGCGGCCUCUGUAUCUCUGAGAGCUACAGGAGAUGCAGUUUCUAGAACACUGCAGGCAUUUCCUGUCCCCUCUGUGCUGAGACUACUACACACGCUGCUUGGACUCUGUACCCGGCAUCCCCUGUUGCAGGGGCAGUCAAGGCAGACAGUCUGCCUCUUCCCUUGUAGGCCCUCUUCUCUGCCACGCUCCAGGAGGGAGUGGGUAUCCGCUCAUGAUGUUCCAGACACAGAGUCCCACACAGACCCCACACCAUAUGCAAAGCCCAAAUCUGCAGCAGCUACCGCUGGGAUCUGUAGCAGCACCGAUGCACAGGACAAAACUAAUGGCCCUUUGCUGGGUCUGGUGGAAAAGUAGCCAGAGAGGGCUUGAGAACCACAGCACCCCUACACACACACACACACACACACACAAAAAGUAGCCAGAGAGGGCUUGAGAACCACAGCACCCCUACACACACACACACACACGCACAGUGCCUCUUCCCUAGCCUUUGAUAUCCAAUUCCUCCCACAGCCCAGACAAACUAUGACUUUCUUGUACUUAUUUUCUUUACCAAGGUGGUGGCGAUCCUGCACUACAAAGACCAGGGUCAAACACUUGGAAGUGCCUGUGGGACCAACAGUGCCUUCUCAGGUGGCUCACACUGACUCCUCGUCCUCUCUCUAAUUGGUCCUUCUUGGUCUGUGUGCCCUUGUGUACGUUUGGUAGCUUCUGCUGUCUUUACAUAAAAAAACAACAACAAAACAAAAAACCCUAGUUACCUUCCACAGCAUCUCCAGACCAUAAAGCCCCUGCAAGGAGUAAAAUGAGCAGAGAUGGGACAGGGUGGCGAUGUUGGUAAAGGGACUGCAAGACAGCGUGUUCUGAGCACUUAGCACAGUGUGAGGUGGAACUGGGCAAUCAGAUUAGGCUUUGGAGGCAGUAUGGGGGGCUGUGGGGAGAGUGUGUGUGUGUGUGCGCGUGUGUGUGCGCGCGUGUGUACGUGUGCAUGUGUGUACUGACACAGUCUUUCCUGUGUAGCUGGCCUCCCUGAACAAUCUGCACAUUACUUCCUGUUUGGAAUUCCUCAGUUAGGGCUCCUUCCUUUGGCGGGGUCCUUGAACUCUAAGAUGAGAUGACUAGGGGAGAGGAGACACUGUUCCAGCCCCUCCUCCAUCGUCCUCAGGGGAACACAACAUUCCACAACAAGGCUUUCUUUCUCAGGAGCCCACAGGCUCUAAGAGGUGUGUCCUAAGGCUAGCUGGGGGAGCCCAGGCUGGCAGGCCCGGGAGAUGGCUAUGCAGUCUCCUCUAUGCUCACAGCAGGCACAGGGCCACUAUGAGCAAGGGCCAUGUGUGAGAAUUAGCUAUAGGGACUCACAUGUGACAGCCUGGGCCCUGCCUUCCACUACAGUGAGCUAGGUGGCCGAUGUGAGGAGCCCCAGGACGUCCACUUGUUUUUCUUGCAACAAGUGCAUCAUUCUUCUGUUUUCUUUCUUUACACAGAGACAUGGAUACCAGAAGAAUUUCUCUUUUUCCUUCACGGAUGCAAGCUUGGGCCUGGUGUAUGCAAGUAUCACCCAGGCACCUCUGUAAACUAGGACAUGGGUACAAAUUUUCAAGCUUGGAUUAAUGGCAGCAUGAGUCAAGAGCGGGCAUCUUGUGUUGAUGAAUCACACAGAGCAUGACAAGACCCAGCACGUGAACGACAGCCGCCAGCCACCGUGGGCUAGGUGAGGCAGGCCUGGUGUGCGGCUUCCUCUACUGGCUGACACUUGGCCAAACAAUUGGCUUUUUUCCCCUCCCUUCUAAACCACAUUGCACUCCUCUGAUUAAAGUGAAAGCAUAAAGGGUCUGAAAUUGAAUGUUGAUGUUAUUCAAUCCUUGGGCUGCAUGGCAGGCAUGUGGGGAGCUGCAGUGUCUGGCUGGAAUACUGACUCUGGAUGUGGCUUCAGGGUGAGAAGCUAACGGCGUAGGAGAGGAAAGGAAUGCAGUAAUUGAAAUGUAUUUUGUAAGCGGAGCAAGAUAGGAGAAGAUGUGACCCUCUAGCACAUUGCUGUCCCCAUCCAAGCCACCGGGAGCCAGGACUUUGACAGUGAGAAGCACAGUGAGCUAAGCUGAGUCUAGAGGGAGGAAGGGGCAGGGCCCAGGGCAUCGCACAGCUAGAGAAAGGCACGGUCUUUCUGAGGCUGCUAGAUAGUAUCUUGUGGCUAGGUUUCUGUGGCGAUAAACUGGGUAUGAAAAGCCACAGGGAGGGGCUGGAGAGAUGGCUCAGAGGUUAAGAGCAGAUACCACUCUUGAGAGGAGCAAGUUUUGGUUCUCAGGUGACUCAUGACUGCUUGUAACUCCAGCUCCAAGGGAUCCAACACCCGUGAGCCUCCUAGGGCCCCUGUGCACACUCGGCACACAGGCACACACGACACACACAAUAAAAAGAAACGAAUCUUCAAAUGGCAAAGCCGUGGUGAACCCAGCCCCUUCCUCUAACUCAGUGACCCAGAUGUAGUACUUGCAAUGUGGCUCCCACAAUCCCUAGAGCUUUCCCUCCCACAGUCCCUAGGGCUUUCCCUUUUUCAGUUGGGCCUGGCACACAGAGCACAGCAAGGAAACAAAGGGCUGUCGUGCCAUCAACAUGGUGUUGUGCCAGAACCUGCCAUGACCAUUCACAAGUGACCAUGACUGCUCACCCGAGGAGUGGGUUUCUGGAAGCACCCCAGGCAUUCAGAGAAAUUUGCUACAGAGAUGAUCUACAGCGCACACACCAAGAAGAACAAGGAUCUUCCAUGUUGUGCCUGUGUGCACCUGUCCAGAAAAGAGUCUGAGGAGACACUGAGCAUGCUCUACAACGUGCCUGUGCCCCUGCUUCCAUGUGCACCAGCACGGAUGAGAACUAACUUCUGAGUAUCAAGAUAAUAAACCAAAACAGAGAGAAAGAGAAGAAGUGAGAAAGAAAAGUGUCAUUGAGCCUCCUGUCACCUGGUUUUGGAUGCCCUUCGAAGACCCAUGAGCUAAAAGUGUGGCUCCCCAGUCAGCGAUGCCAUUUAGGAGGCGGGAGGAACUUUAGUGGGGCCUAGUAUGUGGUCUUCGGAUCAGUAGAUCCUUGAAGCGGAUAGGACAGUGAGUCCGCAGCCCCCUCCUCUCCCGUUUUCUGCCACUUCCUCUCAGAAGCAUAAAGACAAGAGGGCUGCCUAAUCGCAGCGGGAGAUCACAAUGGUGAGCCACCAUGAACCUUUCUUCUUCACAGGGUGAUAUGGCACCUGUUCAUUACAGUAACAGAAAGCUGACUUGCAUAGCAGCCCAUGUGGGGUGGGAUGGGGUGGGCUGAUGGGAAGGACACACUGUUCUCAGUUCUCUUCUGCUAGAAAUCCUCUGUUGCUCAAACCAGGCCAGGCCCAAGCAACCUCACAGUUCCAACCCUGAAUCACCGCUGACCCACAAGCCUUCAGGCUUGUUCAAGUCAGACAGAGACUUGGAUUUCCUAAGGAGAUACUGUAGGGUGGGUUUUAACAGUAUUCUCAGUUAUGUUUUUUUUUUAAAUAUAUUUUAACGCACAUGCUCUGUGUGUGUGUGUGUGUGUGUGUGUGUGUAUGUGCACAUAGACAUGUGAGUGUAGGUGUUCCUGGAGGCCAGAAGAGGGUGUUGGGUCACCUAGAGCUGGAAUCACAGAUGACUAUGACUUGCCUGAUGUGGGUGCUGGGAACUGAACUUGGGUGCUCUGUAAAAGUGCCAAGUGCUUUUAAUCACGGAGCUAUUUCUCCAGCCCCUCAGGAUUUCUCUUAACAAUUAAAAUAAAACCACGCCUUUAUUAUUUCUUUUGUGUGUUGUGGGGUGUGCCACAGCUCGAGUGUGGAGGUCAGAGGGCUGAAUGCAGGAGUCAGUUCGUUCUUUACAUGAUAUGGGCUCCAGGGAUAGAACUCAGAUUAUCAGGCUCAGCGGCAAGCACCGUUGCCAGAGAAGCCAUCUUGUCAGAUCUUGCUCAGGCCUUUUCCUGCUCUGAGCAAGAGUGUAAAGCAGGUAACAUGGCCUGGUGGCCACAUUUGUAGCCACAGAAGCACAUGUGGAAGAGGUUGGAUCCGCCCUUCUUAGGGUCAGCAUGGCAUCCUCUCUGUUCUUUCACUCGGUGGGGCUGUGGUUCCAUCGAGCAGAAGCUGUGGACCAACCAGCAAGAGAAAAACACCCUCAUACGUGUGGUGGCUCGGCUGGCUUAGAGGGACUGAAAUAAAAGGUUCCAGGGCCAGAGGGUGGGGGAGGGAGACCACGGUACCAGAAAACUCAGUGCCCAAAGGGAAAAAGGCAGGGUUGGGUUUAUAUCGCUGACAUGAACAGAGCUACAAAAUAUAAUAAUAUAAAAGAAAUUACGUUUAAACAGUAGCUAUAAAAGAAUCGGGUGACAGUUAGAUCCGAAGAUCCAGACUGUAUCAGCGAAAACCAAACAGCUACAAAUAAAACCCCGUUCUUCGUGGUGGUGCAGGAGUUAUUAUUCUAUUCUAAUGUAAAUGAUAAAACAAAAUUGCUCUGAAUAGUCAAAAAGUCAUACAUGUAUAAUUUGUAUCAAUCAGUAAGUCAGUCAAUCAUCUAUCAGCAACAACUAAGAAAAUUAAAACUAGGCAGGUUUGUCAUUUUAGCACACUUAAUUUUCUUACCUUUUUUUUUUUUUUUAAAGACAAGAUCUCACUGGGUAUAAGGGAAUAAUACCAGCA